AUGACACGUUUUGGUUUUGAUCCGAUGUGGGUCGCGAUGAUAAUGAGAUGUGUCACCUCGGCUCGUUUUUCUGUAAAGUUAAAUGGUGGGCUAUCCAGGAGCUUUAUACCGUCUCGGGGUUUAAGACAGGGGGAUCCAUUGUCACCGUAUUUGUUUCUUUUCUGUGUGGAGGGAUUUUCAGCUCUACUCAAGAAGGCUCAAACUGACAAACAGCUUUCCGGGGUGAAGUUUGGGAGCACUGGCCCCCAUGUAACUCACUUAUUGUUUGCAGAUGAUAGUAUAGUUUUCCUUGAGGGAACCAAGGAGAAUAUGGAAACGCUAAAACAGAUUCUUGAGAAGUAUGAAAAAGCAUCCGGACAGAAGGUAAACUUGCAGAAGUCCUCGAUCUUUUUUGGAAAAGGAAGCCAAGAUGUGAUGAAGGAUCAGAUAAAGCAGAUUGUGGGGAUUCAAUCCGAGGCUCUUAGUGAACGAUAUUUGGGCCUCCCAACACUGGUUGGCAGGUCCAAGGAUGGCACUUUUAAACAUGUAACGGAGUGUGCUAAGGGCAAAGUGUGUGGUUGGAAGGGGCAAGGAUUGUCCAAAGCAGCUAGAGAAGUUCUUGUCAAAUCUGUUUUGCAAGCGACACCGACCUAUACCAUGAGUUGUUUUCACCUCUCGAAGAAGAUGUGCCGGAACCUGACUUCAAUCUCGUCCAAAUUCUGGUGGGGUGCAAUGAAUGGUGAGAGAAAGGUCCAUUGGAUCGCUUGGGAGAAGAUGUGUGCGAGCAAGAGGGAUGGGGGCAUGGGUUUUCAUGACCCCGAGGCCUUCAACCAAGCGUUGUUGGCGAAACAAGCAUAG
rnacentral:rRNA from 1 species